rnacentral:misc_RNA from 1 species
GAUGAAGAACGCAGCGAAAUGCGAUACUUGGUGUGAAUUGCAGAAUCCCGUGAACCAUCGAGUUUUUGAACGCAAGUUGCGCCCGAAGCCAUUAGGCCGAGGGCACGCCUGCCUGGGCGUCACACGUCGUUGCCCCCCCCAUCUACUCCUUCGGGAUUGCGGGGGGCGGAUGAUGGCCUCCCGUGCGCCUCGCCGCGCGGUUGGCAUAAAUGCCAAGUCCUCGGCGACGCACGCCACGACAAUCGGUGGUUGCGAAACCUCGGUUGCCCGUCGUGUGCGGUCGUCGCGCAUCGAGGGCUCGAAAAAAUUGCCGGGUUCCGGCUCGGCUUUCAACGCGACCCCAGGUCAGGCGGGGUUACCCGCUGAAUUUAAGCAUAUCAAUAAGCGGAGGA